GACAACUUGUGAUUGGUCAAUUGCGAAUUUGGUUUUGGUAAAUCUGUCAACACUGAUGUGUUCGUCUCAUAAUUACCUUGUAGCUGGAGUUACGGCAUUGUCUUGUAUGAGAUUUUCACUUUAGGUGGAAGACCUUACGAUAGAAUGACUGGAGAAGAAGUUUAUAACUUCGUGGCAAGUGGUCACAGAUUACCAAGGACUCCAGCCACGAGCUCGGAAUUGUAUAAUCUUAUGCUGCGGUGUUGGCACGAGGAACCAUCCAAGAGACCAGCAUUUGGCUCGAUCGCGUCUUGGACGGAAACUGUUGCGCAGGACUACUGACACCACGGAAAAGACUACUUUGUGCCACGAAGUUAUGUGGAUUUUGAACUGUAGUUCACAAGAUGGGACUUGUCCCCGCGACUUGUUGCAGGGACUAGUCGCAGGGACUAAUCCCCUCGUGUGUGCUGACCGUAACACUGUUGUGUAGUAAAACCACACGAGAAAUGAUGUGACUGAACUGUUAUAGCAUAUCUUAGCUUUCGUUGCCAAGCAACGUAUAGGACGUAUGUUUAAGCUUCAUUUUAAAUGAGCGACAAAUGAUAUUUUUUUUUAUAAAAGGACGUAGGAAUUUCGAACGCUGUUUUUUUUUAUAGCUUUUUCUUAUGUACAACGUUUAGCUGAAUUUCAACUGGAAUGUCUCGGUAAAAGUGAAAAUCUUUUUGAAUGUCCACCAGUUUAAGUAGAACGAAUUCUGUUAAUUCUUCUCUUUUAUUUUUUACAGUAAUUUUACUGCAAGAAUAAUAAAACUCUUGGUUCAAAAGACAACUUGUCGUUGCUUAUUGAAGGGGGCGUUGGGAUUUUUGGUUUCGCGAAUGUGGCUAAUUUUUGGUUCGGUUUUUCGGUUUUGGCCGGUGUCUUGUGCGGUUUGCGAGUUUUCUCCAAUUUGGUCUUUGGUUUUCGGUUUUUGUCAACAAUGAUGGCGGUUUUUCGGAUUUUUCUGCCCAAUGCAUUUUACGGUUUUUCUGCUUUUGCCAAGGAAGUUACAACCCGCAGUCGCGCUAAAACUGUAUUCCAAGGGACCACUUACAGUUAGAGAAAUGCAUGAAAAGCCUAUUCUCUUUAACAGCCGUUAUUUGGGUCGUAACGACUGCCGAGCAGACUAUGAAAAGCUAAAGAUAACAUCAGAGCAAAAGACUUUUUUUCAAAUGUCACGCGGCUGGGAUAAUAUCUUGGGGACUUUGACCUUAGACUACGGACCAUCGAGUUUCUAUGGCUCAAUUGCGAGUUGUCUCCCGGUUUCUUCGCGAGAAUAACAUUGCGCUCACUCGCUCUGUUCACGUGGAAUAAGAGCAAUGGAGAAACUGUUUGGUCGUAAAAUAAAGUAGUUUGGUUUUAAAAUGGGGCGCCAUUGCGCCUACACUAUUGAAAAUCCUGACAACGGCAAUCAAAAAAAAAAAACUUCAGAAUGUGGUGUUUCUUUUAAACAAAAAUCAACUAAAAUCAUUUUAUCGUGCAAUUUGUUUCUAGUUUCACAUUGCUAUAGGUCUGUGGAGCCGAUUUAUACAAAAAAGGAGCUUUUUAGACUACGAUGUGUUCUGUACUAACGAGGGAAUACGCAAAAAGAACUUCGGAAAGUAAAACAAGUUUAGACGUAUAAAAAUUAAAUAACAGAAAGAGAGAUUCUGAAGACUGCCAAAGUUUUGUUAGUGAGGGCUUUUAUUUCGGUUUUCGGUUUUGGACGAAAUUUCUUGCGGUUUUGCGGUUUUCGGCGAUUUUUUGCGCGGUUUUUCGGUUUCUAAUAGGCCCCUACGUCCCAUCUUCUUAUUAGCUAUUAGUUGGUUUAAGCGAUUUCUUCUGCUGCUUUAUGGCCUGUGUUUGUGCAUUCUCGCAUUUCCCGUGCUUUACAGAUUCGCCGUUCGCGCCUGGCCUGUCAGUGACCCAAACUUGAGACCAUUCAUUGGUCUAUCCUCGCACAAUCACAAGCCUUCAUCCUGUACAUUUUAAGCGAGUUUUUAUUCAUAUUAACGUGAAGUAUACUUCAGUUUUCUUUCUCUUAUUACAUCCGGACAAUAUGUAUCGUAUAAAAAUGAAUGUCAUGAUCAAUUAAUCAACUAGACUUAAAUGCCAGGCAUUUACAGAGUUCCUUGCUUUGGGAACGAGACCGUAGUUUUUGCAAAUUAUGAACAAUGAAAGACAACUGCGCAACUUGAAAGAUGAGGUAUGAUCGGCUCGUCCUCUUCAUCUGACAGCUCACAGGGUACUAUCAGUUCAUUUUCAACUCCUACGCUAGCUUUGCUGCAGGAGGCAUCCUUAUUCACGGUAUCAGCCAUUGCCUCGUCAGUUUGAAAUACCUGAUUCUCGAGCCAAGCAAAGAAGAAGAAAUGAAAUGAGAGAUUCUAUAAUUCCAACUCCACCAGCCAUGAGAAACGCAGCAAUGUAGUUACGAACCUGUCAG